AGUCAGCCUAAGGAAGGAGUAUCAGUGAAGCUCAGCCAAUCCAAAUAAUGUCUAAUUGGUAACUGGUUAUUUCAGCAAUAGGCUUAUGCAAAAUGCCAAGCCAAUUAGACCUGUGGAGACUCAGUUACAAAGAUUUGCAAGACAUGGAAUCAGCAUAGAAAAAAGCAGGACUGAAUGAAGAGUCACCAUUUUGAUUAGAUUGUUUAAAUUUCCAGCAUUAAUUCUAAAGCAUGUAUCUACUUGUGUAUUUCUUAAAUAUGAAAGAGAAGAAGAGUAGAAGAGUGAGAAGUGGCUCUGAAAAUCAGAAGGCCUAAGACCUAUGACAGAAUUAAUGGAUUUGGAGGUUUUCACGCUUUCCUCAGAUAAUCACUACGAGUUUUUGUGAUUUAUGUAUAUAAUCUCAUGUAAUUCUCCUGAUAAUUCUAAGGAAGGAUUACUCUAUUUUACAAAGGAGGAAACUCAGACUCUAAGCAGUCAGGUAAAUCAUGCAAGCAGUGCCUCUCUGCAAGAGGCUCUGGGUCUGUGUUGCUGAAUUGGCCUGUGUCCUCAAAGCACGUUCCAGCUUUCAAGGGGAAAAUGACAAGGUGGAAGAUGAGCAAUGGACUGAAUUGCCUAAGUAACCCAGGCUAACAGAAGCUCCAUCUACUUGCGGCUACAACAGAAGAACAAGUGGCCUCCAACGCCGUGGUAGUGGCGGAAGAGAGAUCCUGAAGAAAUCUCACAGGCUUUUUGCUUCUCAACAUGGAAAGUAGAGAUACAUGUCUUUUCUACCCUUUUCAUUGGCUGUAAUGAGUCACAUGUCUCUACUCCCCUUGAAGCUCAGAAGUGCAGUCUUUGUGUCCAAAGUGUCAGAAGAACUGGAUAUUGAUGAACAUUAGUAAUGCUUACCAUGUAUAUUAACCCAGGUGUACACAGAGCCAUGUAAAAUUUGAGUCUCGCACUAUGAAGUUCCAAUCCAGAUCCUAUGGCUGGGUUUUAGAAUGGCUAUAUCAAUAUAAAUAUUAAGAACCAAAGACCAUAUAUUACAGAUGCAAUUUAUUCUGAUCUAGUGCUUAGAGCAGGACCAACAACUGUGGCACAAGUUUUCUGAUUACAGUUCUGCAGGUUAGAUAGUCAACUUGCUACAGUUUUCUUCUCAUGGGCUUGAAGAUGAUCAUUUCAUACACAAUUCAGUCAAAUGUACUGACUUAUCUCUAUGAAAAAAAUCCAGUUAAUGUGUCAAGUAUCAUUUUGUCUAUGAAGUUUCCUGCUAAAUUUUAUACCAACUAUCUUGCAAUGGUUAUAAUUCCUUAAAAUGUGUCUCAAGGACAGAAAUUAAAUCCUGGUCAUCUUUAGGUUUUUGACAUAUAACAGUACUUACAUUUUUUUUUUUUUUAACAAACAGCUUUUUGAAUGAGUAACCAAAUAACUGAAUAAGUGCCUAUCUAAAAAUAGUUACUUGUCAUCUGAAUCACUCUCAUUUACUGGCCAGUAUCACUCCAUUUUUGGGGAGAAAGAGGGGGCAGUACAUCAUGGUGGCUAGGAACAAGGACUUAGAAGGCAAGGUGAUGUGGAUUUGAUGCCUGGCUCUGCUACUUGCCAGCCAAAGGCCUGUGGGCAAGGUUGUAACUUUCUCUAAGACACAUCUGUAAAAUUCAAUCCAUAGUGUUCCCAUGAGACUAUUUUGAAGAUUUGCUGAGAUAAUUCUUACAAAGUGCUGAGCACAGCACCUGGCAUCUAAAAGCCUUCAGUAAAUGUUAGCUAUUAUUAUUACUCUCUAACUGGACUUUUGCAACUAUUUCCUCAGGAUUUAGGCAGGAUAGUAAACACAAAUUGUAGUAUAUUUUACCCACAUCUAGUCCUUGCAAUAACUGUAUGUUGCUCUUAUUAUUUUAAUCUACAGAAAUUGAGUCCUGAAGUGGGUAAAAACUUACCCAAGAUCAUGCAGCUGGUUGGUGGUAGAGCUGAGGCUUGAACCCAGAACCAAUGAACUCCUUGUCUCAAUUACUUCUUUAAAACCACAAGGGGUAUCUUUUUGUUGCUAUUUCUGUGGAGACACUUUUAUCUUUAUUAACGUCUAUCUGUUUGCUGAGCUAACAAAAAUAACUAAAAUGGUUAUGAAACUGAGCCACUAAGACAAGUUUUUAUUUUAUUUCAGCUUAUAACUUUUUAAAUUCCAACUUGGAAGCCUACUUACACAAUGCAGAAAAUACUUGGCUUUGUUAUCACUCUCUAGAAAUUUAAUCACUACAACUAUAAAAUUAUUAUUAGUAACACUGGAUUCCUGAAAGUUUGUGUAACUUUUAAGUUCUAUUUUCCAUUUUUAUUAGCUAUGUUUUAUGCUGGGAGCAUUCUUGGUCCCAUUUUACAGUGUGGUAAACUAGUACAGAAGGGUCAAUUUCUCUAUAUUACCCCUUGAGUUGGUUGCAAAAGCAAGAUUACAGUUACUCUGAAGCUCCAAGGUGUGGUGAAUUACUUUACUACUAUUUUGCCCACCCAGAUUAUUUAGUUAUGAUCAACUAAUUGCAAAAUGGUAAAUAAGAGUC